rfam:Tetrahymena thermophila SB210 genomic scaffold scf_8254607, whole genome shotgun sequence.
UUCAUUUAGAAUUAGGUUUGAUUCUGUUGAUCUUAAAAUAAAAGGUUAAUUAGUUGGUCGGUUAGCUUUAAUGCUGAUUUGACCUAGUUAGUUUUCCAACAUG